rnacentral:rRNA from 1 species
AUUGAACGCUGGCGGCAUGCCUUACACAUGCAAGUCGAACGGCAGCGGGCCUUCGGGUGCCGGCGAGUGGCGAACGGGUGAGUAAUGCAUCGGAACGUGCCAUUGAGUGGGGGGAUAACGUAGCGAAAGUUACGCUAAUACCGCAUAUUCUGUGAGCAGGAAAGCAGGGGGACCGCAAGGCCUUGCGCUCUUUGAGCGGCCGAUGUCAGAUUAGCUAGUUGGUGAGGUAAAGGCUUACCAAGGCGACGAUCGGUAGCUGGUCUGAGAGGAUGAUCAGCCACACUGGAACUGAGACACGGUCCAGACUCCUACGGGAGGCAGCAGUGGGGAAUUUUGGACAAUGGGGGCAACCCUGAUCCAGCCAUGCCGCGCGAGUGAAGAAGGCC